UACGGAGGAUCCAAGCGUUAUCCGGAUUUAUUGGGCUUAAAGGGUGCGUAGGCGGCCUAUUAAGUCAGGGGUGAAAGACGGUAGCUUAACUAUCGCAGUGCCUUUGAUACUGAUGGGCUUGAAUGUACUUGAGGUAGGCGGAAUGUGACGAGUAGCGGUGAAAUGCAUAGAUAUGUCACAGAACACCAAUUGCGAAGGCAGCUUACUAAAGUAUGAUUGACGCUGAGGCACGAAAGCGUGGGGAUCAAACAGG
rnacentral:rRNA from 1 species